rnacentral:misc_RNA from 1 species
UCAUCAUACUGCACUGUUGGGAGCUAUUUCAAAUGAUUUUUAAAGAGUGCUCAAAGAGGUCGAUAUACACUGAUUUGAAAUAAAAGGUACAUUGAUAUUAAACACAGAUAAACAUAAAGCAUUGACAUAGAAGAGAUAUGGCAAAAAUAACACAUUAAAGUUUUUUUACAAAAGGACCGUUAAAUUGCUGAAAUAUUUUGGGAAACCCAAAAUUGGAUUUUCAAAGGUUGUAGGUUGUAUCUAAAAUGAUUGAAAAGGUUCAAAAGUAUUACCGAUACAAAAGGAAUUGACGGAGAUGAGAACCCACGUGUAGUCUUGAAGAAAACGUUUCGACCUAAAUACGGCCUUAUGGUGUCUAACAUACGUAUAUAUUUAAAAUAUGGUAUAAAUCGUGAACUUUUGGAGCCCCAUUUACGUGAUGUAUAAAUUGAUCACUGGCGUCUCCAAUAUACAGUCAGACAACAAUGAAACUCCGUAUUGAAUAGAAUAUUUGAUACAUUUAUGCAUGACCUUUUCAGUGACCCCUGGAAUCUUAUCAAAAGGACUGUGUUGAAAUAAUAAAAUGUCAACUUUGGAACGAUAUAAUGGAUUCAGUUGCAUAAUUAUUGGACGAAUACACAUGGCUAUAGGCCACCUGGUAAUACAAUCCAGACUAUAUAGAUAUAUAGGGCUAUUUACAUAUGUAGCAGACACCAAGCGGAGUACACAGGCAUCUGCAGAGUAAACUAGAGAAACAAUACAAUUUAUAGGACCAACAAAGAACAUUUUUCGAAUUUUGUCAAUGUAGUCUGCCAUCUAAAAGUUGAGUAGUCAUCUAAGUUUGAGCAGCCAUCGACAGCCCAUCUAUAAGUUGUUACUAAACCAUAUGCGGCGAUUCCAAGACUCAGAAACGCACGCUGGAAGCUGAUUAUGAGAGAAGGCUAGAAUUAAUGAGACAAUACCCGAUGCAUUGUAUUUUGGUAACUACAUGAUAUGGUGAUCGAGUGUCUGAUUGUACGUAUGACUGGCGAUUGAAGCACCCCGAUGACCGCUUAUAAAGCAGAUACAGUCAGAAUACAGUGACUUAAAAAGACUAUCAGAUUCAGUAGCCUUAAUUGCGACGCGCUGACCAAUUUAGAAGAUGGCGAGACAUAACAUUGUCAUAUCCCUGUUGACAACGUUCGUGUUUUUUGUGCAACAUAUCAAAAAAGGAUCAUUUCAAGAUUUCGUCAACAACGAUUGCUCAUACAAAUCCAAAUUCAGUAUGACUAUUUUUGCUCUUGAAAACAUUUACGACUGCAGUGAACGAUCUCUCAUCAGUGUCCCCGAUCUGAGUCAUGUGAACAAUAACGUUAGCGUCAUUGAUUUGUCGAAAAACGCAAUAACUCGUAUCCCAACUGAUGUGUUCAAUGGGAUCCCAGAUUCAGUUACAAAAUUAGUCAUAUCGAAUAAUCCCCAAUUAAAAACAAUUGGCGAUUAUGCAUUUAGGGGAACGAAAAUAACUAGUUUGGUACUGUCAAACAACGAAGCUCUGUCAACGAUUGGUCGAAAUUCCCUGCAGGGAUUGCCAAAUCUCAAAAACGUUGACUUAUCAUCUAGUGGUAUUCAAUUAAUAGCGCAUGGGGCGUUCGAUAAUCUUACUCUGGAUAGCAUUAAUUUAAAGGACAACAGGCUUGUCACAAUUGGAUCGAUGACUUUCCCGAGAUCACCAAAAUCGUUAGUUCUUAUGUUGAAUGAUAUUGAAAACAUCGAGGCGGGUGCUUUUGGACCAGGGAUCGAACACAUCGUACUAAGUGAAAAUCCCAUAAAGAAUUUGAACCCCGAUGCGUUCAAUGAAGCAGUGGAUAUAAGAAAACUCGAUCUAGAUAACUGUGACUUUGAUGGAGCAAUACCAGCACACAUGUUUGACAAAUUAUCUCAGCUUAAAUCGUUAGAUCUGAAAAAUUCGAACUUGAGGAGAGUUUCAAAUGGAACGUUUACUCCUUACAUUGAGGUCUUGGACAUCAGCACGAAUGACCUUAACGAUGACGAGUUUGGGCACUCGCUUUCAGCUUUCACAGAUUUGUCUAGUGUAAGGGAACUGACGCUUAACCAUUGCAAUUUGACCGAAUCAUGGUUUGGGGUGACACCAUAUCUCAAGAACUUACACACAUUAAGGUUACAAGGGAACAGAAUUGCAGAAAUCCAACCAGGUACAUUCAGCACAAAUAAACAACUAGAGGUUAUCAUUCUCUCAGAAAACAAUGGUAUUGAGUUGCACGAGGGUGCUUUCAAUGGUGUCGAAAGCUCGCUAUUAAUACUUGACAUUAGCUCCUGUAAUAUGAACGAAUUCCCAAUUGAAGCUUUGAAGACACUCAGGGGCAUGUCUGGGCUUAACCUGGGAGGUAACAACAUUGUGGGGCUACCUCAGAAGGCAUUCUCCAGGAUGUCGAUCAAGGGUAAAUUGACAUUGGAUAUAUCGUAUAAUGGUCUCGUUUCUGUCCAUCCACUCGCUCUGAAGAACAUGGCGUUUCCAGUAAAACUAGUGAUGAGCCAUAACAACGUUAGUGAUUUGACAUUCGCAACGUCUUUAUUGGAUUCUCCUUGUACCACUGAAGGGUCGUGGAUCUAUGCGGCUUGGAAUCCAAUCAACUGUAAUUGUAAACUUCAUGAUCUUUUACAUUAUACGAACAUCAGAUUUUCAGGAAAAUGUGCAUCUCCCGUGAAUAUCUCUGACACCGACUUGAGACGAUAUCCCGGGGAAACGAGAGAGUACAAAUACGAUUAUAAGUUUUUUGAGAAAGAAGGUACAAACUUUUGUGGAAAAAACACACUGAAACGAUACAAUUGUGAUUGUUCUAAGGUAUUAGAAAACUCAACUGACGUCGGCUAUACAGAAAUCCAAUCACCCAAGUGCCUGAACCACAGAACAUUUAUGUCCGGAACAUCGACUGUCUCUCCGUCUCUGAUUAUGUCGACGAUGAUUUUAAUUAAUAUGAUAACGCGCAACUUAAUUUAGAUAGGUGUUGUGGCUUGUAUUAUAAUGGUGAUUGUAUUUGAUUAAUACCAUUACCCUAUUAAUCAUACCAUGCACAAUUUACAAUCAUAUUUUCACUACAUUUUUUAUAAGUCAGAUGUAAUACGUUAACUAUAGAAAAUAAAUAUAUUCUCUGCACUUAAA